rnacentral:lncRNA from 1 species
CAUACACAUUUAUGGCCGCCCCAUAAACACUUAUGGCCACCCCAUACACAUUUAUGGUCUCCAUAACCAUUUAUGGCCACCCCAUACGCAUUUAUGGCUGCCCCAUGUACAUUUAUGGCCACCCCAUAACCAUUUAUGGCUGCCCCAUAACUAUCUAUGGCUGCCCCAUACACUCUUAUGGCCGCCCCAUAACCAUUUAUGGCCACCCCAUGUACAUUUAUGGCCACCCUAUGUAUAUUUUUGGCCACCCCAUAACCAUUUAUGGCCACCCCAUACACACUUAUGGCCACCCCAUGUACAUAUAUAGCCACCCCAUAACCAUUUAUGGCCACCCCAUAACCAUUUAUGGCCGCCCCAUGUACAUAUAUGGCCGCCCCAUAAGCAUUUAUGGCCGCCCCAUAGGUGAUCUGCUGCGAGGGCAACGCGGGUUUCUAUGAGGUCGGCUGUCUGUCCACCCCCCUCGAGGGUACGGACCCCCCCCCAAACCCCAAAACCCGGCCCU